rnacentral:tRNA from 1 species
GCGGGCGUAGUUCAAUGGUAGAACGAGAGCUUCCCAAGCUCUAUACGAGGUUCGAUUCCUUCGCCCGCUCCA